UACGGAGGGUGCGAGCGUUGUUCGGAAUCACUGGGCGUAAAGCGCGUGUAGGCGGCCUGCUAAGUCUGAUGUGAAAGCCCGGGGCUCACCCCCGGAAGUGCAUUGGAAACUAGCGGGCUGGAGUCCCGGAGAGGAGGGUGGAAUUCCUGGUGUAGCGGUGAAAUGCGUAGAUAUCGACCGGAACUCCGGUGGCGAAGGCGAGGCGCUGGACCCUUUCUGACGCUGAGGCGCGAAAGCCAGGGGAGCAAACGGG
rnacentral:rRNA from 1 species